rnacentral:rRNA from 2 species
GAAGGCUUUCGGGUCGUAAAACUCUGUUGUUAGGGAAGAACAAGUACAAGAGUAACUGCUUGUACCUUGACGGUACCUAACCAGAAAGCCACGGCUAACUACGUGCCAGCAGCCGCGGUAAUACGUAGGUGGCAAGCGUUAUCCGGAAUUAUUGGGCGUAAAGCGCGCGCAGGCGGUUUCUUAAGUCUGAUGUGAAAGCCCACGGCUCAACCGUGGAGGGUCAUUGGAAACUGGGGAACUUGAGUGCAGAAGAGAAAAGCGGAAUUCCACGUGUAGCGGUGAAAUGCGUAGAGAUGUGGAGGAACACCAGUGGCGAAGGCGGCUUUUUGGUCUGUAACUGACGCUGAGGCGCGAAAGCGUGGGGAGCAAACAGGAUUAGAUACCCUGGUAGUCCACGCCGUAAACGAUGAGUGCUAAGUGUUAGAGGGUUUCCGCCCUUUAGUGCUGCAGCUAACGCAUUAAGCACUCCGCCUGGGGAGUACGGUCGCAAGACUGAAACUCAAAGGAAUUGACGGGGGCCCGCACAAGCGGUGGAGCAUGUGGUUUAAUUC